CCUACGGGUGGCAGCAGUGGGGAAUAUUGCACAAUGGGGGAAACCCUGAUGCAGCGACGCCGCGUGAGUGAAGAAGUAUUUCGGUAUGUAAAGCUCUAUCAGCAGGGAAGAAAAUGACGGUACCUGAUUAAGAAGCCCCGGCUAACUACGUGCCAGCAGCCGCGGUAAUACGUAGGGGGCAAGCGUUAUCCGGAUUUACUGGGUGUAAAGGGAGCGUAGACGGCAGCACAAGUCUGGAGUGAAAUGCCGGGGCUUAACCCCGGAACUGCUUUGGAAACUGUGCAGCUAGAGUGCAGGAGAGGGAGGGUGAAGGCGUGGGGGAGGGGUGAAAUGAAUAGAAACCGCGCAGA
rnacentral:rRNA from 1 species